UACGUAGGGUCCGAGCGUUGUCCGGAAUUAUUGGGCGUAAAGGGCUCGUAGGCGGUUUGUUGCGUCGGGAGUGAAAACUUACAGCUUAACUGUGAGCGUGCUUCCGAUACGGGCAGACUUGAGGUAUUCAGGGGAGAACGGAAUUCCUGGUGUAGCGGUGAAAUGCGCAGAUAUCAGGAGGAACACCAGCGGCGAAGGCGGCGCUCUGGGCUGGAACUGACGCUGAGGAGCGAAAGCGUGGGUAGCAAACAGG
rnacentral:rRNA from 1 species